UGUGUGUGUGUGUGUGUGUAGCAGAGGAGAGUUAAUAACAAUGCAAUAGUUCCCUAGUGUCACCACACACCCCACCGAGGGCUGAUGAACAGGACACACACACACACACACUCCCCGCCGAGGGCAGAUGGUACACUGUCUUCUGUUUCCCAAAACAUUCUCAUCAAGAUCUGUUUCCUUCUCUCCCAGUCAGGCCUUUCUGUCCUUUCUGUUUUGGAUGUCAUUUUCCCCUCAGGUUGAAGGUAUGAUAGUAUGAUGUACAACUCUCCCCUCAGGUUGAAGGUAUGAUAGUAUGAUGUAGAACUCUCCCCUCAGGUUGAAGGUAUGAUAGUAUGAUGUAGAACUCUCCCCUCAGGUUGAAGGUACGAUAGUAUGAUGUAGAACUCUCCCCUCAGGUUGAAGGUAUGAUAGUAUGAUGUAGAACUCUCCCCUCAGGUUGAAGGUAUGAUGUAGAACUUUCCCCUCAGGUUGAAGGUAUGAUAGUAUGAUGUAGAACUCUCCCCUCAGGUUGAAAACAAACCUACAAGGUGACUAACAUGUCUGUGUCUGGUAGCUGGUGUGUAUGUGUCUUUGAGCCACUUCCUGUAUUGGGCAUCUGGCGGAGAGCUAUACUGUUAUUGGAGGACAGGAGAAAAGGGGAGAGAAGGGAGGAGAGGAGAGGAGAUGAGGGGGAGGGAGGAGAGGAGAGGAGGAGGGGAGGGAGGAGAGGAGAUGAGGGGGGAGGAGAGGAGAGGAGAUGAGGGGGGAGGAGAGGAGAUGAGGGGGGAGGAGAGGAGAUGAGGGGGAGGAGAGGAGAUGAGGGGGAGGAGAGGAGAGGAGAGGGAGGAAAGGAAAAGAGGGUGAAGAGGAGGGAGAAGAAGGGAGGAGAAAAGAAGAUAUUGAGGGUUGAGAAAUAAUCCUCCAUAACUCUCCAAGGACAUAACUGGUUUCAUUAGCAUCCAGGAGGAGGUUAAU
rnacentral:lncRNA from 1 species